AUUGAACGCUGGCGGCAUGCCUUACACAUGCAAGUCGAACGGCAGCACGGGUGCUUGCACCUGGUGGCGAGUGGCGAACGGGUGAGUAAUACAUCGGAACAUGUCCUGUAGUGGGGGAUAGCCCGGCGAAAGCCGGAUUAAUACCGCAUACGAUCUACGGAGGAAAGCGGGGGACCUUCGGUCCUCGCGCUAUACGGUUGGCCGAUGGCUGAUUAGCUAGUUGGUGGGGUAAAGGCCUACCAAGGCGACGAUCAGUAGCUGGUCUGAGAGGACGACCAGCCACACUGGGACUGAGACACGGCCCAGACUCCUACGGGAGGCAGCAGUGGGGAAUUUUGGACAAUGGGCGAAAGCCUGAUCCAGCAAUGCCGCGUGUGUGAAGAAGGCCUUCGGGUUUUAAAGCACUUUUGUCCGGAAAGAAAGCCUUGGCCCUAAUACGGUCGGGGGAUGACGGUACCGGAAGAAUAAGCACCGGCUAACUACGUG
rnacentral:rRNA from 1 species